rnacentral:lncRNA from 1 species
GGUUGUGCCCUCCCUUCUGUUAGGUGCUUUUAGAUUAAUUUACCACUGACUAUAAAAAAUACAUUGGUAUAUGAAAUUUUGGUUGAGCUAAAGAGGUUACUCCAUGACCUCUUUGCAGGUGCGUAGUUCUAUGAGAGCCAUGCAAUAUGAGAAACUAUUGCCUAGGUUGAAGAAAUUGCUUUCUAUUUUGCCUACUAUUUGGCCAAGGUAAUUCUGCUAUAUGAGAGGUGAAGUUGGAAUUUUUAAGUAAGAUUUUGAUUCUUUAUUUUUAUGUUGCUUGUCAAGCUUUUCCGGUUAUUUUAAUUUAUUCGAUACCAUCAAUGGGAAACUCGUAGUGAUUUGUCUUUUAUAGGAAUGUUAGACUAAGGAAGUGCCAUUGGUUUACUACUUUGAUAGUCCACUUUCAAAAAAUUUGUGAAAAAACGACACUGAAAAAAAAAAAUUAUAUCAACUAAUGCAUUAAGGUGCCAGACUAAUAGUGAUCAAUAAAAAUAUUUUAUAGGGCAGGAUCAAAAGUUUCAAUUAAAAGCAAUAUAGAGCUGGGGUCACAUUUAGUGUCAUUAUGCAGAACAAUAUGGAUUAAGUUGUUUCUAUCCUUAUAAAUGAAUUUUAGUCUUCUAAACCAGUUUAGUUUAUGUAGUUAAUUUUUAUAAUUCUUGAAUAUUGACUCUUGCAGGCAUGCCAUUAUAAAUUAUUUGAAGUCCUCUAUGUGUGUUGGGGUGGGGGUGGUUGGAGGGUUUGUUGGAUGCUGCUUUGUUAUUAGUGAUUGUUGUAAUUUAAUGCUACUUGUUUGGAUGCUUAUAAUCUUCAACACAUUUGCCCAUCCCUUUAUAAGCUCAUAUAUGAAAAUCAAUUUUUCCUCCUAGUCUAGGCCAAGGGGCUCCCUCAUUCAGUGUUAUAUAAAAUGGAAUCGUACCAACCAAACAUAUCAUCUCUAUCUCGGCUUAAUUCAAGGUGAAUAAAUGAACCCCAUUUAUUUUUUGAUAAGUUGUGGUUCAUUAAUGAAUGCUUUAUUGCAUAUAGAACCUACAAUGAUCCAGGGUCAUUUGAUGUAUUUAGUUGCAUGGUUGGAUUGGUGAAGAGCUAGAUGUCCUCAUUCUUAAUUACCAAGUAGGAUAUUUAGAAGACAGGUUCUGUUUUCGAGUUUCCUUUUUGAGCUGUAAAUGUUUUAACUUUUUUGCUUUUGUCUUAUUUGUUGAUAGCUUCAACUAAUGAUGGAAAGUUUCUUCUUGCUGCAUGGAACUGUAGACGUCCUACUUGCACAGACGAUAUCAUCUCUCUUAAUGAUGAUGAUGUUUGGAAGGGGAGCACCACUU